GGAUCUGUUUCAGAAAACGUUAUCAGCUCAUUUACGAAACUUCUGUUCAUACAAACCUUUCCAACAGCUUGGUUUCUUGUUUGUGAGACGCUUCUAAAACCUGAGAAAUGAAACUUUCCACGAUUCAAUUUAUGUUUUGCUUGACUUUCGUCAUCCUAUCUUGCAACUACGUUACUGGCUAUCCUCCUGCCCAAGGUCAUGAUUCUUGGACCACCAAUGAUGGAAGUUUUGAAGAUUUUAUGUUUUACCCAAACAGCCUAAGAUUGAACCAACCAAUAAAAAGAACAGGAGCCGUAGGGGUUGAUCUUCCGGACUACAUCUUCCACUACAAAGAGGGUUUCCCCAACUUGGCUUUUCUGAAACAACGGAUGCUAAAGAGCGGAAGAUAAACGAUGACUAAUCAAUAUUAUGACGUCCUCUUCGAAACGAUAAUCGAAUCUAAGGUCACCUAGCUGUAAUGUUUUGUUUUGUUCUGAAGUAAACAAGUUUCGUUCUUAAUGCUUGUAUCUCGUAAAACUUCAUUUUUCACAAUGAUCUACUACUGCUAGCUUUCCUAAAUGAUUUGGUAAACUCACCUGCAAGGUAUUGUUUUCAUUCUUAUUAAUAAAUAAAGAAUAACAUUUAUAUACAUGCACCCA